UCCGGGGGAAGCUCACUGCCGAGGCCACCCACGGGGUGCGCGUCACCCGCGGCCCGCCUCGGGGAAGGUCUGAGGGAAGGGCCGCCCGCGGCCCCAGCAGGGCCCCGCCCGCGACGGGCGGGUGAGCCACCAGCAAGGGGGGGCGCCGCGCGGGCCGGCCCGGGCAGGAGAAGCCGCGGCGGUUCCCGGGCGGACCCCGGCGGAUGCUCAUGGCCCCGCGGUGCUUUGAGACAGACUCACGGCCGGCGCGCUGAGUCCGAUGGGUGAGGUGGGGCACUGCCCCAUAACCCAAUUCAGACUACUCUCCCCCGGA
rnacentral:RNase_P_RNA from 1 species